GACCCAUCUCCAUGGCUUUUGUCAUGUUUGCUUGUCCAAAUCUCCAAACUUCAUCCUGAGCCUCUCCAAACCUGAAAUACCACAUAUGCAUAUGCUAUGCAGCUAAUCAAACUCUAAAUGCAUCCUAAAUGAUCUAAAUGAGUAUGAAAAUGAUAGGUUAAACCUGUAAAAUCUCAUGACAUCACUCAGCAGACUGGUGCUCAGAAGUUUAGUCCUUGUAGACAUCCAAAAUUUCCACCACCACCACCAUCGGAAAUACGGAUGGCACAACCCAUCAAUGAGGAUGC
rnacentral:lncRNA from 1 species